rnacentral:lncRNA from 1 species
GGACGGCCCCCGGAGCCUGGUGCUGCAAGGCUCCCCAGACCUCUGGGCCAUCAGAAGCCACUCAGCGAAGAUCAAGAGACCAGCUCAGGUUUUUACAAAGAUGGCUGUGGACCUUGGUGACUCUCUGGGCAGGAGUCCAUGUUGUGGCCUGUUCAAACCAGAUGCCACAUGCGGCCUCCUUGGCAGAAGGAGCCCACAGGGACCCCCCUCCGCAAUGUGUCCACAUGUUUUCCUCCCAGAGGGCUAUGGAGUAGGCCCCCGGAUGGCUCUUUCUCUUCCACCCCAUCAUUUUGAUGGCUCCCCUGCCAUGUCCUAGGCACUGGGGACAGGGUCAUAAAGUCCUCUCCUUAGAGUUUAUAGUCAGUGGGGCUCAACAGGCAGUGACUACAGUAAGUAAAUCAGUUAGCAGUUUAGCAGGUCAGUGCUCUAGAGCCACAGGAAGCGGCAGGGUGGGAGCCCUGUGUGUCCUGGAGUGCAGUGGGAGGUGGCCACUGUCACAUGGCUUCUUAGCAGAUUGGGGAUGGGGGAGGAGCCACCUGAUCUCAGCACUGAGAGCUUCAAGGUGGAGGGGGCUCAUCCUCUCUGCCAGGAAACAGGUGGGGUGGGCCUUGACAUGAAGCCCCUGGUCUCCACCAGGAUCACAGGCCCCCAGGGCCAAUAGCCAGGUGACAGCUAAGGCCCCAGGUGGGGGGCUUCCAGGGGAGGCAUCUGGUGUCACGAGAAGGGUCUCCCUGGCACAGGCCUUCACUGGCCAGGAUGGAGGAACACCCGCAUUCCCACACCCCAUGGGCUCUGCUAGCGGUGAUGGCUGGACCCAGAAUGCAGCAGUCAGCAGUCUCCUGACUGCUCCGUGGGGUUCUAGCCCAGGCCCACCCGGAGGGAUCUGGUGGACGUUGGCUGUGCAUCCAGAGCAUGAGGACCUCCCACAGGAAAGGCCAGUGGGAGGCCUGCCCCCCAGAUGAAGCCAAGUUGUGCCACAGCUGGGCAUGUAGCCUUGUGCACCUCGGGCACUGCUGGGUGGAGGUCUUGCAAGGGACAGGGCCCCAUUGGCAAGGAGGCUGACUUCCUGGAGCAGCCCCUGCUCUAGCACCUGGGCCCUGCCUGGGCCCACCCUGCCCUCCUGUGUCUUGCCAGGCACUCAUUCAGCUUCCUUCUCUCUGAGGCCCACCGCACCCUGGCUCUGCACAGUGGAGAGCCUCCAGGGACUGGUCAUGUCAUCUCCCACCAGAACUCUGUUUUCCCCUGUGCAGGUCAGACCUGGGGAAGCUACACACACGGAGGGGAGAAAAUGUGGAGCCACUGACCUUGGGGCAUUAGGAUUGUGUCUGUGGCCUAGGUCACAUCAGGAUUUGCCCUCUACAUUCUCCAAACAAAGGGCAGCCCUAGAGACCUUGUUUGAGUGCCUCCUCUGACCCUUUUUCCAAGUGACCCUCAGGCCUCAGCUGAGGAACCCAGGGCAAAAAAAGACCACAGUGGCUCUGGGCUGUCCUUGGUCUGGGGAGCUGGGUGCUCACAGUGCCUGCCAGAGGGGUCAUUCCUGGGGUCCCUGAUGGCCUUAACCAGGGACCACAGAGGAACCUGCAGCUGUGAACUAAGCCGCACCAUCUUUGGCCAUCUCUGUUCUCUGGAAAACAGAUUUUGGCACUGUGUACUUCUGAGCCUGGGCUUCCGUCCUCUGAGCACCGUGGCUCCCACCUUCCUGCGCCCCUUCCUGCCGGAGCCUGCUCAGUGAGCCCUGGGCCACAUCCAGGAGCAGGACUGGCAGGCCAUCUCGACAAGCGGCCUCCUAAUGGCCUCGGUCUGCCUCACGCCUGGGUUGCGGGGUACUUAGCGAGGCGCCACCCAUGGGGAGCCUGGACGCCCUCCUCCUGCACCUCGAGUGGCAGCCACAUCCGCGAGCAUCAGUGCAGUGGCUGUCGCAGGGUGGACUUGUGCGCCCUUCAGAACCCAUACAGCUGUCAACUGGAGGGAAACACGAAGCUCAGGAAAGGGAAGUCCCAUCUGGGAGAGCGGAUCGCGGGGAGCGGCCGAUGGACUUCUCACGCCCCUGGCCUCGCGGUGCCGUCAGGGCAGCUCUCCUUCCUGAGCUCCUUCUAGAAAGCCUGCGCCCGGAGGCACGGAGGCCUGCGCACCGCCUGUGCCACGGUGGCCGUCCGCCUCCCCACCCCACCCCCCCGCAGUGUCGCCCGCAGCGUCGCACGGCCAAGUCUUGAGAUGUGGGAUGACCCACCUUUCCACGGCGCUUUUGAUUUUAAGACUUGUUUUGGGGUCCUAAGACCUCAGCAUCUUCCCAUUUUUUUAUUUUG